UGAGGAAUUUUGCACAAUGGGGGAAACCCUGAUGCAGCGACGCCGCGUGUAUGAUGAAGGGGCUUUGCCCUGUAAAGUACUGUCGGAUGGGAAGAAAAGCGCUAUCAAGCGCUGGGACUGUACCAUCAAAGGAAGGGUCGGCUAACUACGUGCCAGCAGCCGCGGUAAUACGUAGGACCCAAGCGUUGUCCGGAUUUACUGGGUGUAAAGGGAGCGCGGGCGGGCUCGUGCGUCGGAAGUUAAAUAUCCGUGCUUAACAUGGAAAAUGCUUUCGAUACGGCGAGUCUUGAGUACGAGAGAGGAUGAUAGAAUUCCUGGUGUAGCGGUGAAAUGCGUAGAUAUCAGGAGGAAUACCAGUGGCGAAGGCGGUCAUCUGGCUCGUAACUGACGCUUAGGCUCGAAAGCGUGGGGAUCAAACAGG
rnacentral:rRNA from 1 species